GACGAACGCUGGCGGCAUGCUUAACACAUGCAAGUCGAACGGAAAGGCCCUGCUUUUGUGGGGUGCUCGCGUGGCGAACGGGUGAGUAACCCGUGAGUCACCUUCCCUUUACUUUGUGAUAACUUCAGGAAACUGGGGCUAAUACCUGAUAGGAGCUCCUGCUGCAUGGUGGGGGUUGGAACGUUUCGGCGGUUGGGGAUGGACUCGCGGCUUAUCAGCUUGUUGGUGGGGUAGUGGCUUACCAAGGCUUUGAAGGGUGGGCGGCCUGAGAGGGUGGACGGCCACAAGGGGACUGAGAGACGGACCAGACGCCUACGGGAGACAGUAGUGGGGAAUAUUGCACAAUGGGCGGAAGCGUGAUGCAGAAACGCCGCGUGCGGGAUGAAGGCCUUCGGGGUGUAAACCGCUUUAGCCUGUGACGAAGCGUGAGUGACGGUAAUGGGUAAAGAAGCACCGGCUAACUACGUG
rnacentral:rRNA from 1 species